UACAGAGGUCUCGAGCGUUGCGCGGAUUCAUUGGGCUUAAAGCGUGCGUAGGCGGGCCCGUAAGUGCCUUGUGAAAUCCCAUGGCUCAACCAUGGAAUUGCUCGGUAGACUACGGGUCUUGAGGUCGGUAGGGGUCGCCGGAACUCUAGGUGGAGCGGUGAAAUGCGUAGAUAUCUAGAGGAACGCCAAAGGUGAAGACAGGCGACUGGGCCGAUUCUGACGCUGAGGCACGAAAGCGUGGGGAGCGAACGGG
rnacentral:rRNA from 1 species